rnacentral:rRNA from 1 species
UCUUUUUGAUUAAAAUUUAAAGUAANUUCUGCCCAAUGAUUUAAAUUUAAUGGCUGCAGUAUAUUAACUGUACAAAGGUAGCAUAAUAAAUUGUUUUUUAAAUGAAAACUUGUAUGAAUGAAUAAAUGAAAUAUAAACUUUAUUAAAAAAUUUUAUUGAAAUUUAUUUUUAAAUUAAAAAGUUUAAAUAAAUUAAUGGGACGAUAAGACCCUAUAGAAUUUUAUAAAUAUUAAAAAUUAAAUUUAAAAAUAUUUUUUUAAUAUUUAUUUUUUUGGGAGGAAAUUAAAAUUUAAUAAACUUUUAAUAAUUGAAUACAAAAAUAAUUGUUAUUUUUUAUGAWUUUAUUAAGUAAUAAAUUAAAGAUUAAAUUACCUUAGGGAUAACAGCGUAAUAUUUUUUUAUAGUUCAUAUUGAAAAAAAUGUUU